UGUGGUGAUGGUUUCACAUGAGUAUCAAACAUCAAAUUGUAUACUUCAAAUAUGUACCAUUGACUGUGUAUCGAUUAUGCCUCAAUAAAACUGUUUAAAAAAAGGAAAAAAGAACAAACUCCAAUAUGCCUCCUUUUGAUCUCUGUGUCCAGGUUUCAUAUACUCAUGCUUUAGGGGCUGCUGAGAUUGGUUAACUUAACUGAUCCGUGUAUGGAAGACCAUGAUCACUGAGCCUCCCUCAUAGAAACAUCUUCAGGGGCUGAAGACAGCCUCCCAGCCAUGCUUGCUGUCUUACUCAAGACUGAACCCAGUGCAGCCAAGGCUUCUCCAUCUGCCCUCCCAGCAAUGUCACAGAGCCCAUUCUGGAGCAGAAACCACUUGUCAUUCAACUUUGUCAUCACAGAAGUAUCUUACCCAGAGCCUGAGGACCUGUGGAGACCUUGGGGUACUGCAGAGUUGACCAGGUCACUGGAUUCUGGGUGACAGUUCCUGGUGCUGCAAGAUGGAACGGCAGAAAUGUUCGCACUGUCAGUGGAAGAAUAACAUGUAAAGAAGAAUCUUUUAUCACAUGAGCUUUGUAAUAUAGAGCUGGGAGAGGGUCCAAAGAACUCCUCUGGUCCAGUCCUCUGUGUCCAAUCGGAAGACCACUCCAACUGCCUGAGAUAAGUGGUCCCCGUCUACUUUGACUAGCUCUUUCUUUUCUGUAAAAAACAACCAAACAAAACUAGGAAGAUCUGUUUUUCUUCUUGAUUCUUAAAAUUUCUUCAAAGAAAAAUUUGUCCGAAAUGUUACAUAUUUCAGACUCAGUUUUAAGUCUGUUUUGCUCUAUUUCAUGUAAUGUCUAAGAAAAGGAUCAGGUAAUCAGCAGUGCACUAACAUUUUCCCAACAGGUAUUAAUUUAGCCUUAUGUAUAUGAAAAAAAAAGAAUGGCCUAUUUAAGGGGGGACCAGUUAGGAAAGGAAAACUGUAAAAGAAUUUCUUUUAGAUGGUGCUCAUUCAGACACCAUCCAGAGGAAAAAGAAUGUUGGUCCCAGACCUAAAGUAUUCCGAUCAAACUGGGCACAUCUAUUUUGAGAUCAAUGUGUCUUAGCGUGCAGACAGUAAACUUGAAGUUCAUUUGGCCCCUGAUUCAAUACUUAGCAGCAAACUUCUGUUAAUAUUUGGAUGUCCAUGAGGCUCUGCCUACAAAGAGAAAAUAACCUUGCCUUGGACAGACCAUAAAAUGCUUGCAGUCGGAGUCAUAGCCAGAACCUUUUACGGGAGAGAGCAGCUUGAAGAAUUCUUUCGGUUUAAGAUUGGCAGUGGCUUGUGGCUCAGGAGAAAGGUGAAGGCAACGCUGCUCCCUAACCACAGGUGGUGGUCCUAAGGGUCCACUCAUGGGCCAGGCACGUGCAAACUAACAGCAAUGAGCCAGGUACUAAACGCUCCCCCAGCCAUUCAGUCUCUUCCAGAGAGCACGCCUCUGAGGUGACCCCAGAGUGGCUGGAGAAUCCUAUGGCUGGCAAGCUGCGUUUCCAGCAACCUCGGAGGCCAGACGUGCUUUUCCACCAUAGCAGCCCUCCCAGUGAUGGAGAUUCUACGUCUAGAAAACAACCAGAUGCAAUCUCCCAAGCCGCAUUGGAGUCGUCUGGUCUUUAAAGAUUAAACCCAUCUGGUUUUUGUGACUUUUUCCACGAUGGAUUCUUCGUCACCAGCCCGACAUCUCCUACAGUGAUUGGCAAUUUAAGUAAUUUGUAUUCUGUGAGGAAAUCAUUCACUUCUUCUGUUUUCCAAUGUGUUGCCAUAGAAUUGUGAGCAGUAAUCUCUUAUAAUUUUUUUCAGUCAUGCCCGUAUCAGUGGUUUGUGUCAUCUUUAAUCCUGCAUAUUUUUCCAAGAUUCCGUCUCAUGUGUGUGCAUGCCAUGUGCACUCUCUCCUUCCAUCAGAUUCACAGUGAAUUUAUCUGCUUUCUGGGUCAUAAUUUUUGUUUUUAACUUUUGAAUUUAUUUAUCCUUUCUGCCUUAUUUUGGUUGGUUUUUGUUUUCUAGCUUAUUCAUUUAAAAUUUAUUUAAUCCUUCUUAGUUUCUUUGUCUCCUGGUCCAUUCUUGUUGGCCUCUGGAAUGAUCAUCCUCUUCUUCAUGUGCUGAAAUGUCACCUAGGGAAAUUACGCUUGCUUUAGCUCUGGAAAGUGUUCAUGGGUGCACGUGUGUAAGCGCUGCAUUUGACUCUUGUGAACAUCUUUCCCUCCUCUUUCUCUCACGGUAGUUCUGUUUCACCAGGAAUGUAUAUUUGUCCCGACUGCCCUUCCUCUUUCUGGCUGCUGGGUCCUGAGCGGGUUUUUACAUCACUGGCUUUUUCUGGGCUGGCUGACGAGACCCCCCACAUCACGGCAGUGUGGUGGGUGGUGGAUGGUGGAAAUCCCAUGUGGGCUAGCAGUGCAGUGGCUGGAAGGUUGCUAGUCUCCAGGUCAGCUACCAGGAAAAGGCUCCAGGCUCCAAAUCUUUUCUUACCUCUAGCCUUGGGAGUGGGAGGACCUAACCCACAUCCAUUCUGUACUUUUUCGCUUAUUUAGGGGACAGGAUCUGACACCUUAGUGUGGGGCAUAUAAUGGCCUUUUCUCUAUGGUAAGCAGAUCCCUGGUUGGACAAGAUUUUUCCAAAAUUUCUGCUCUGAUUCUAGUCCAGGGCGCAGUCUGAUGCAAGUUGCAGGCCGUUGCCCCACCCCAGGGGAAAGCUGCAUGUUGAUUGUCUCCCCUCAUGCCCUCUGGGCCCGAGGCCAUGCUAACACCAGCUCUGUAUUGGUCUGAGCCACUGCUCAAAUUAGACGUGAUCUGGAUUUGGGAAUAGAGGAGUGGCAGCGGUUAAUCAUUUCCUAGAAUCCUCCCUUAGUGUCAAAGACUUGAAUUGUAGCAGGGUAAAACAGAGAAGCGUUUCUCUGCUCAUCCCUCCUUUUUUUUUUUAAACCCAGUAAUUUAGUGAUUUUAUCUACGUUUGUAUGAACCCCUCUGUGAUAUAUGCUAUGACAUUUUCGUUUCUUGAACUAUCAGUGGCCUCAGAGAAAACUGGUCUGCUAGCCCACCAUUUCCAACCAUAAUGUUUAAUUUCACUACUUUAAAUGAAAUUCAUCAUUUUGGUGAGUUGGCCUGUAGCACUUAAUUGGCUUACAUAAAAUAACUUUAACUCUCUCAUCAUUAUGUUUAAUUACCUAGGAUAAUGUUUGCACACAGUUCAUUUUGGACGUUUCUCCAAGAUGUUAAAUUGCUUAAAAAUAGACAUGGCAUACACUAUAAAGAUAGCCACAUCUGUAGAUACAGAUCUCCAUCUGGUAAACCUAAUAUAU